AUACGGAGGAUCCGAGCGUUAUCCGGAUUUAUUGGGUUUAAAGGGUGCGCAGGCGGCCAUUUAAGUCAGCGGUUAAAUCGUGGGGCUCAACCCCAUUCUGCCGUUGAUACUGGGUGGCUUGAUUGCGGUCGAGGUUGGCGGAAUUCGUUGUGUAGCGGGGAAAUGCAUAGAUAUGACGAAGAACACCGAUUGCGUAGGCAGCUGACCAGACCGCAAAUGACGCUCAUGCACGAAAGUGCGGGGAUCGAACAGGAUUAGAUACCCUGGUAGUCCGCACAGUAAACGAUGAAUACUUGUUUUCGGCGAUAUAAUGUCGGAGGCAAAGCGAAAGCGAUAAGUAUUCCACCUGGGGAGUACGCCGGCAACGGUGAGACUCAAAUGAAUUGACGGGG
rnacentral:rRNA from 1 species